AGUGGGAUGGCUGGGUCAAAUGGUAGUUCCAUUCCCGAAUUUCUGAGGAAUCACCGUACUGCUUUCCAUAGUGGCUGCACCAAUUUGCAGUUCCACCAGCAAU
rnacentral:pre_miRNA from 1 species